rnacentral:misc_RNA from 1 species
UCAAACUUGGUCAUUUAGAGGAAGUAAAAGUCGUAACAAGGUCUCCGUUGGUGAACCAGCGGAGGGAUCAUUACCGAGUUUCCGAACUCCCAACCCACUGUGAACAUACCCUUACGUUGCUUCGGCGGGCGCCACGCCCGCCGAGGGACACGCAAACUCUUUUUUGAACCUGGAACUCUGAUUGCAUAAACAAAAAAAAUGAAUCAAAACUUUCAACAACGGAUCUCUUGGUUCUGGCAUCAAUGAAGAACGCAGC